rnacentral:rRNA from 1 species
UACGUAGGGACCAAGCGUUGUCCGGAAUCAUUGGGCGUAAAGAGCGUGUAGGCGGCCUGUUAAGUCUUGCGUGAAAUCUCGGGGCUCAACCCCGAGCGGUCGUGAGAAACUGGCGGGCUAGAGUGCGGGAGAGGAGAGUGGAAUUCCUGGUGUAGCGGUGAAAUGCGCAGAUAUCAGGAAGAACACCCGUGGCGAAGGCGACUUACUGGACUGUAACUGACGCUGAGGCAUGAAAGCGUGGGGAGCAAACAGG